GAUGAACGCUGGCGGCGUGCCUAAUACAUGCAAGUCGAGCGAAUGGAUUAAGAGCUUGCUCUUAUGAAGUUAGCGGCGGACGGGUGAGUAACACGUGGGUAACCUGCCCAUAAGACUGGGAUAACUCCGGGAAACCGGGGCCAAUACCGGAUAACAUUUUGAACCGCAAGGUUCGAAAUUGAAAGGCGGCUUCGGCUGUCACUUAUGGAUGGACCCGCGUAGCAUUAGCUAGUUGGUGGGGUAACGGCUCACCAAGACAACGAUGCGUAGCCGACCUGAGAGGGUGAUCGGCCACACUGGGACUGAGACACGGCCCAGACUCCUACGGGAGGCAGCAGUAGGGAAUCUUCCGCAAUGGACGAAAGUCUGACGGAGCAACGCCGCGUGAGUGAUGAAGGCUUUCGGGUCGUAAAACUCUGUUGUUAGGGAAGAACAAGUGCUAGUUGAAUAAGCUGGCACCUUGACGGUACCUAACCAGAAAGCCACGGCUAACUACGUGCCAGCCGCCGCAGUAA
rnacentral:rRNA from 1 species